UACAGAGGGUGCGAGCGUUAAUCGGAAUUACUGGGCGUAAAGCGUGCGUAGACGGCUAUCUAAGUCGGGUGUGAAAGCCCCGGGCUCAACCUGGGAAUUGCAUUCGAGACUGAAUAGCUAGGGUACGGUAGAGGGAAGUGGAAUUUCCGGUGUAGCGGUGAAAUGCGUAGAUAUCGGAAGGAACAUCAGUGGCGAAAGCGACUUCCUGGACCGGUACCGACGUUCAGGCACGAAAGCGUGGGGAGCAAACAGG
rnacentral:rRNA from 1 species